rnacentral:misc_RNA from 1 species
UCGAAGCCUAGAAAGCACGACCGCGAACUCGUUUAACUCGGGGACGCAGCGGGAAGCAAUUCCCGUUGCGCCCUCAGCUCGGCGGGAAGGGAUGCAUGCGCUCCGUUCCCCCGAAACUAACGAACCCCGGCGCGGAAAGCGCCAAGGAAUCCAAACGAAAGAACCUGCCCCUUGGGUCGGUGCGCCGGCCUCGAGGGGAAGCGUCUUAUCAAAUAAGUCAUAACGACUCUCGGCAACGGAUAUCUCGGCUCUCGCAUCGAUGAAGAACGUAGCGAAAUGCGAUACUUGGUGUGAAUUGCAGAAUCCCGUGAACCAUCGAGUCUUUGAACGCAAGUUGCGCCCGAAGCCUUUAGGCCGAGGGCACGUCUGCCUGGGCGUCAUGCACUGCGAUGCCCCCCGCCCAAGCGCGGGAGCGAAGCCUGGCCUCCCGUUAGCCCAACUCGCGGAUGGCUUAAAAACGAGCCUCGAGACGGCGAGCCGUCGCGACAAGUGGUGGUUUCGAGGGCUUGCGCCUCCGAUCUUUGCAAGUCGCGCGUCCUCGCUCCUCUGUGCUUCGAAUUAACCCCUUUGGUGCGCGUCCUUCGCGCUUCCAGCAUCG